GGUCGUCACAGCACCGGUUCCUCGGGCGCGCGCCCUUAGUCCUGGGGCCGCUUCUCCCCCGGACGCGUGCGAAGGCGGACUGGGUUCCGCUGCGGUCUCCACGGGAGCCACCGGUCCUGAAAGCGCGGAGCAUGCUUUGUUUGCGGAAACGAAAGCGAAUACUUCUUUCCAAGGAGACUUAGGAAAGGGCAGACGCUCCCACUGCCUCAGGUGUUCCCUGGAGGACCUUCAAGUGGCCGCCGUGUGGGCGGGCUAGCGUCCCGCUGCUGCGCUGGUUCCGGAGCCCUUCCCUUGCCUCUCCCAGGGUCCUUCUCCCAGCGUCGGAGGAAGGCCCGCAGUCUGCGAGUGGAGUGCGGGUGGUGGGAAUCCCUGGGAGGAUUACGAAAUCCUUAAAGUGGGAUUUACCAAACGCAUUCCUUUCCGCUCACUUCCGUUCCCGCUUAACAAACGUGUUGGAAACGUGUUGCUACUGAAAGGAAGUGGCGCUGGGCUGCAUUUUCUGUGGCUAGUCUGCGAGAAACAGCCCUGGAAUAGGGCCUCUAUUUCUUCCUUGGAGCAUCCCUCCCCGGGACCUGGGAGUUGAAACUCUAGGCUAAAGCAACUGAAGCAGGCCCAGGACUGGGUCUCUGAAAUUCAUGGUGUCUCUACGCUGAGUUAAACUAAGUUUUUCAGAAAAUGUCUAACUAGGCUAAAGACCUUGUGCUUCAGAGUGUUUUGAGAGGAGAGUUUGGGGAAAAGGGCUCUCUCUAGAAGGUCUUUGAUUACUUGAGAAAAGUGAGUGAGGUGGGGCCAAGAUGGUUGACUAGAAGCAGCUAGUGUGUGCCACUCUCACAAAUAGCAGAAAGAGUGGUGAGGUGAGUAGACACUAGCUCUUCAACCGGAACAUCCAGAUGGACACAUAGGAUUCAUCAGUGACAUAGUGUGACCUUCGGAUCACGGAGAAGAGUGAGACAGAUCAACCAUUCACCCAGGAGUGGCACAGACCCAGGGGAAUCCCCCUACAAGAAAAUGAAAUGAUGCAUCUAACAGAAUAACACUGGUCCAGAACUUCCAAAUGGUAGUCAAUGCCUAUGGAACUGACAAAAUUGAACUUAGCAAUGAACUCCAGGCAGAUUUAUCCUGAGAGCCACUCCUUCUGAACCUCUUUGUUUCUUAAAUGUGACUAAAAGGGUUUUGACAUCCGCUCUUAGUUGCUGGCCAUUCAUCUCUGAUGCAGGAUCAGACUAACUGGGAAAGGUCCACUCCAGCACCAAGAAACAAUCAAAACCUAACUAUAGGCUGAUUAAUCAGCAAUGCUUUCAGAAAAAAGUCUUGGUCAAAAGGGGGAAAUGUUAAAGUUACCAGCAAAGAAGUUGACUCACUUAAGUCAAACCACAACAAAAUGGAGCUGGGAGAGUAUAAAAGAAGGCCCUUCAUGCAUGGAUGUCUCUAAAAGAAUUAUUGCAAGGACUCUCUGAAAACUACAAAAAUUUUAGAUACAACGCUUCUAUGAAGACAUCUUCCCAGCAAUAGCCAGUAUCACCAAAGCCAAGGAACACCAUCUGAAGUUCUGAUGGCAACAUCAGAAGCUAAGAGAAAGGCAUGGAAAAGAUUCUCACCUAGAGCAUCCAGAGGAGAGGUUGGUCCUGCAGACACCUUGUUUUCUGACUUCUGGCCUCCGCAACUGUGAGAGAAGAAAUUUCUGUUGCUUAAAGACACACAGCUUGUGCUACUUUAUUAUAGUAGCCCAAGGUAACUAAUAUAGAUGACAAAAUUGGUUCCAAGGGUGUUUGAGGAACUGGAUCUUUAUAGGCAUUAUUUUCAUAAUACUGCAUUAAGCUACGAUAACUGGAUUAGAUUCAAAAUUGGAUAAUGCCCUAAAAUGCAAUAAAGCUAUAAUUUUGAGAUAAAAUUUUAAUAGCUUUAUGAGAUAUAAUUAACAUCUGGUAUACUGCACAUUUUUGAGGUGUGAAAUUUUUAAACAUUAACAUACGUAUAUACUUGUAAAACUAUCACACUAUAAAGAGAUCUCAAGCCUCUUCUUUUGACUUUCAACACAUCGUCAAUCCAGUACUAAUCUGGUUUUAUUACCAUAUAUCAGCUUUUAUUUUCUACAAUUAUAUUUCAGUAGAAUUAUAGAGUAUGAACUCUUUUUGUCUUUUUUCCUUAAGCAUAAUAUUUUUGAGAUUCAACAAUUUCUUGCAUGUUUAAGUAGCACAUUUUUUUAUUGUUACAUAUUAUUUCAUUUCAUAGACAUACCACUAUAAUUUAUUUACUAAACUCUUGACCAGAGGUUCUCAAAUGAGGGACAUUUUACCUGCCAGGGGACAUUUCCAAUGUUUGGGGACACUUUUGGUUAUCAGAGGUUUGUGGAGGAGGGGAUAGAGUGUGCACAGGCCAGGGUUCCACAAAGGAUAGCUCCCCACAACAAAGAAUUAAGCCACUUCAACAGCUAAUAGUGCUGAACUUGAGAACGCCGCUCUUGGUGGACAGUUGCGUGGUGUCUGUUUUUGACAAUAAUGAAUAAAGGUACUUGUGCAAGCCUUUUUAUAGACUUAUGCUUUUCUCCCCGCUAGGAUAAAUGCCUAGGGGUGGAAUUGGUACAUGUAAGGUAGAUUUAGUUAUCCAAAGUAGCUGUACUGUGUUACACUCCCACCGUCAAUGUAUGCAAACUCUAGAUUCUGGUUUCUUGACAUCUAUGCCAAAUAUUGGUAACACAAUUUUUAAAAUAGUAGCUUUUCUAGUAGAUGUGUAUAAUUAUCUCAUUUUAUUUUUUUAUUACUAACGAUAUUAAGAAAUUUUUCAUUUGCUUAUUUGCUAUUGUAUCAUUUUUGUGUAGCAUCUGUUGGUUUUUAUUGUUCUCUUGUUUCUAUGUUGUACAUUAUAUUUAUAUAUUCUUGCUCUUAUUCAUAAUAAAUAGUAUAUAUAAUUGUGUAAUUAAAAAUAAACAUUAAAGUAUAAAUAUAUUUAUACAUUUCUAUAGUUUAUCAUUAUAUAAUUAUUGCUUUCUGAAUAAAAAGAAAUUUCUCCACAGUUUGCAUAAAAAGAAAUGCUUUCAUGUAGUUUACUAAGACAUUUUCUGUGCUUUAUAUUUGAAGCCUAUGCUUUCACUUUUACAUAUUGUUCCAUAAUAUAUUUUGGACUCAUUUAAUUUUGAACUCAUUCAU
rnacentral:lncRNA from 1 species